rnacentral:rRNA from 1 species
GAUGAACGCUGGCGGCGUGCUUAACACAUGCAAGUCGAACGGAAAGGCCCAAGCUUGCUUGGGUACUCGAGUGGCGAACGGGUGAGUAACACGUGGGUGAUCUGCCCUGCACUUCGGGAUAAGCCUGGGAAACUGGGUCUAAUACCGGAUAGGACCACAUUUUGGAUGGUGUGGUGGAAAGUUUUUCGGUGUGGGAUGAGCUCGCGGCCUAUCAGCUUGUUGGUGGGGUAAUGGCCUACCAAGGCGUCGACGGGUAGCCGGCCUGAGAGGGUGUACGGCCACAUUGGGACUGAGAUACGGCCCAGACUCCUACGGGAGGCAGCAGUGGGGAAUAUUGCACAAUGGGCGCAAGCCUGAUGCAGCGACGCCGCGUGGGGGAUGACUGCCUUCGGGUUGUAAACUCCUUUCGCUAGGGACGAAGCGUUUUUGUGACGGUACCUGGAGAAGAAGCACCGGCUAACUACGUG